GAGGAGCUUGCUCCUCUGACGUUAGCGGCGGACGGGUGAGUAACACGUGGAUAACCUACCUAUAAGACUGGGAUAACUUCGGGAAACCGGAGCUAAUACCGGAUAAUAUAUUGAACCGCAUGGUUCAAUAGUGAAAGACGGUUUUGCUGUCACUUAUAGAUGGAUCCGCGCCGCAUUAGCUAGUUGGUAAGGUAACGGCUUACCAAGGCGACGAUGCGUAGCCGACCUGAGAGGGUGAUCGGCCACACUGGAACUGAGACACGGUCCAGACUCCUACGGGAGGCAGCAGUAGGGAAUCUUCCGCAAUGGGCGAAAGCCUGACGGAGCAACGCCGCGUGAGUGAUGAAGGUCUUCGGAUCGUAAAACUCUGUUAUUAGGGAAGAA
rnacentral:rRNA from 1 species